AUUGAACGCUGGCGGCACGCCUAACACAUGCAGGUCGAGCGGCAGCGAGACUAGUAGCAAUACUAGUUGUCGGCGAGCGGCGGACGGGUGAGUAACACGUAGGAAUCUGCCCUUAAGCGGGGGAUAACCAAGGGAAACUUUGGCUAAUACCGCAUAAUCUCGAGAGAGCAAAGCUGCCCGCAAGGGUGGCACUUGAGGAGGAGCCUGCGUCCGAUUAGCUAGUUGGGGGGGUAAUGGCCUACCAGGGCGAUGAUUGGUAACUGGUCUGAGAGGACGACCAUUGACACUGGGACUGCGACGCGGCCCAGACUCCUACGGGAGGCAGCAGUGGGGAAUAUUGGACAAUGGGGGCAACCCUGAUCCAGCGAUGCCGCGUGAGUGAAGGAGGCCUUCGGGUCGUAAAGCUCUUUAGGUUGGGAAGAAGGGUAUUGGCUGAAUAAUCCAGUACUUUGGCGGUACCGACAGAAUAAGCACCGGCAAACUCUGUGCCAGCCGCCGCAGUAACAC
rnacentral:rRNA from 1 species